ensembl:snRNA U6 U6 spliceosomal RNA
AUGCUUAUUUCAGCAGUGCAUGUGCCACAGCUGAAACAAUACAGAGAAUAUGAUGGUACUUGCACGAGGAUGACAUGCAGAUUUGUGAAGUGUUCUAUAUUUUA